GAAGGCAGCAGGCGCGCAAAUUACCCACUCCCGGCACGGGGAGGUAGUGACGAAAAAUAACGAUACGGGACUCAUCCGAGGCCCCGUAAUCGGAAUGAGUACACUUUAAACCCUUUAACGAGUAUCCAUUGGAGGGCAAGUCUGGUGCCAGCAGCCGCGGUAAUUCCAGCUCCAAUAGCGUAUAUUAAAGUUGUUGCGGUUAAAAAGCUCGUAGUUGGAUUUGUGUCCCACGCUGUCGGUUCACCGUUCGUCGGUGUUUAACUGGCAUGCCCGUGUGGACGUCCUGCCGGUGGAUGCGGUCGGCCGCAGACUUCGGUCUGCGCGUCGGCGGUCCGAUGCAAUCCUACCGCGGUGCUCUUCACCGAGUGUCGAGGUGGGCCGGCACGUUUACUUUGAACAAAUUAGAGUGCUCAAAGCAGGCAGUGGUUCGCCUGAAUAUUGUGUGCAUGGAAUAAUGGAAUAGGACCUCGGUUCUAUUUUGUUGGUUUUCGGAACUUGAGGUAAUGAUUAAUAGGGACAAAUGGGGGCAUUCGUAUUGCGACGUUAGAGGUGAAAUUCUUGGAUCGUCGCAAGACGAACCUAAGCGAAAGCAUUUGCCAUAAGUGUUUUCAUUAAUCAAGAACGAAAGUUAGAGGUUCGAAGGCGAUCAGAUACCGCCCUAGUUCUAACCAUAAACGAUGCCAGCUAGCGAUCCGCCGAAGUUCCUCCGAUGACUCGGCGGGCAGCUUCCGGGAAACCAAAGCUUUUGGGUUCCGGGGGAAGUAUGGUUGCAAAGCUGAAACUUAAAGGAAUUGACGGAAGGGCACCACCAGGAGUGGAGCCUGCGGCUUAAUUUGACUCAACACGGGAAACCUCACCAGGCCCGGACACCGGAAGGAUUGACAGAUUGAGAGCUCUUUCUUGAUUCGGUGGGUGGUGGUGCAUGGCCGUUCUUAGUUGGUGGAGCGAUUGUCUG
rnacentral:rRNA from 1 species